AGCGGCGCACGGGUGAGUAACGCGUGGAUAACGUACCUAAUGGUUAGGGACAACCUACUGAAAAGUGGGCUAAUACCUGAUAAGCUCUUUUGAAGUACGCUUCGAAAGAGGAAAGCGGGGCGACUCGCGCCAUAUGAUCGGUCCGCGUCCCAUCAGCUAGUUGGCGGGGUAAAUGCCCACCAAGGCUAAGACGGGUAACUGGUCUGAGAGGACGACCAGUCACACUGGGACUGAGACACGGCCCAGACUCC
rnacentral:rRNA from 1 species